GCUUACGGCCACACCGGCCUGAGUACACCUGAUCUCGUCCGAUCUCGGAAGCUAAGCAGGGUCGGGCCUGGUUAGUACUCGGAUGGGAGACCGCCUGGGAAUACCAGGUGCUGUAAGCU
rnacentral:rRNA from 1 species